GAGCCCGUAGCUCAGUCGGUAGAGCACCGGACUUUUAAUCCGGGUGUCCUGGGUUCGAAUCCCAGCGGGCUCACCA
rnacentral:tRNA from 1 species